rnacentral:ncRNA from 1 species
CCGAGAAAAGGCUAACCUGCCGAAAGGCAGGGGCGCAAAGCCACGGUCUAAACGGACAUGUGACUAACGAGUCGACCGGCUCGCAGAGUCGCCGCCGCAGGACAGCCGGGCUGCCUAGG